rnacentral:tRNA from 1 species
GUUAUUGUAGCUUACAUUACUAAAGCACAGCACUGAAAAUGCUGAAACGGUGAAUCACCCAUAUAACA